rnacentral:rRNA from 1 species
GGGGAAUAUUGCACAAUGGGGGAAACCCUGAUGCAGCGACGCCGCGUGGAGGAAGAAGGUCUUCGGAUUGUAAACUCCUGUUGUUGAGGAAGAUAAUGACGGUACUCAACAAGGAAGUGACGGCUAACUACGUGCCAGCAGCCGCGGUAAAACGUAGGUCACAAGCGUUGUCCGGAAUUACUGGGUGUAAAGGGAGCGCAGGCGGGAAGACAAGUUGGAAGUGAAAUCCAUGGGCUCAACCCAUGAACUGCUUUCAAAACUGUUUUUCUUGAGUAGUGCAGAGGUAGGCGGAAUUCCCGGUGUAGCGGUGGAAUGCGUAGAUAUCGGGAGGAACACCAGUGGCGAAGGCGGCCUACUGGGCACCAACUGACGCUGAGGCUCGAAAGUGUGGGUAGCAAACAGGAUUAGAUACCCUGGUAGUCCACACUGUAAACGAUGAUUACUAGGUGUUGGAGGAUUGACCCCUUCAGUGCCGCAGUUAACACAAUAAGUAAUCCACCUGGGGAGUACGACCGCAAGGUUGAAACUCAAAGGAAUUGACGGGGGCCCGCACAAGCAGUGGAGUAUGUGGUUUAAUUCGACGCAACGCGAAGAACCUUACCAAGUCUUGACAUCCUGCGACGGUGCUGGAAACAGUACUUUCCUUCGGGACGCAGAGACAGGUGGUGCAUGGUUGUCGUCAGCUCGUGUCGUGAGAUGUUGGGUUAAGUCCCGCAACGAGCGCAACCCUUAUGGUCAGUUACUACGCAAGAGGACUCUGGCCAGACUGCCGUUGACAAAACGGAGGAAGGUGGGGAUGACGUCAAAUCAUCAUGCCCUUUAUGACUUGGGCUACACACGUACUACAAUGGCGUUAAACAAAGAGAAGCAAGACCGCGAGGUGGAGCAAAACUCAGAAACAACGUCCCAGUUCGGACUGCAGGCUGCAACUCGCCUGCACGAAGUCGGAAUUGCUAGUAAUCGCAGAUCAGCAUGCUGCGGUGAAUACGUUCCCG